rnacentral:rRNA from 1 species
UACGGAGGAUCCGAGCGUUAUCCGGAUUAUUGGGUUAAGGAGCGUAGGCGGGUUGUUGAAGUCAGUUGGUGAAAAGCUUUGCGGCUCAACCGUAAAAUUGCAGUUGAUAACUGGCAUCCUUGAGUACAGUAGAGGUAGGCGGGAAUUCGUGGGUGUAGCGGUUCGAAAAUGCUUAGAAUAGUCACGAAGGAACUCCGGAUU